GCUUACGGCCAUAUCAGCCUGGGUACUCCCGAUCUCGUCUGAUCUCGGAAGCUAAGCAGGGUCGGCCCUGGUUAGUACUUGAAUGGGAGACCACCUGGGAAUACCAGGUGCUGUAAGCA
rnacentral:rRNA from 1 species